GAGGGAGGGAAGGGGGGGUCGCAGCGUCUGACUCCAGCGUCAUCCGUGCUGAGACUAUAGGGAUCAGUGAAACAGCUGCUUCUCCGAGACUUAACUAGCUGCUAUAGGUCUUCUUCUCUUCCUGUCAUUGCCCUGAACCUUCUUCCCAGCAUUCCUUUCCUCGCUUCUUAUUUCUUUUACUGUCUGCCUCUCCCUGGCUAUCUCUCCCAAGCAGCAAAACCAAAGGCAAACAAUGUCGCUCAGAAUCAGAAGAGCUAUGCUUGCCCAUCAUCAACAGCCAUUCCAGUUGCCUCCAAGCUCCAUCAGCUCAAGACCACCUAACUUUCAAAUUAGAAAGCAUCAUACAAUGAAAAGAAAUUGGAUGGAUUCUUUGGUAUCUACUGCCAUGCUGAAUGUACUGUCCACUAGUGAAUGAAUCAAUACUCCUGUGCAAAUCUACCACACCAAAAAUGUCAUACCAAACAAUGAAAUAUUUCUGAACAGCCGAUGAGACCGACACUAAAUUUGCUUCUAAUGACCCUUCACUAUCUCGGGCUCCAAAAUUUAUGCUAUUUCAGCAAGUUGUACACACACACACAGGCUUCUGAGCCCCAAUGUGGCAUUCUGGAAAAAUUAAGAUGGCAUUGGCUGCACUUUUCUUACAAGUCUCAGGCAGCCCACUACCAUUAUUUAUUUAGUUGCUCAAAAUAUUUUUUACCCAAAGGUUCCAACAACAGAAUGCACAAUUAUGAAAACAGAUAAAACCAUUGUAAUUAUAAAACAAGCAAAACUGUUCCAAAUGUUCCAAACAGAAUAAAAUAUAAAUUCAGCAAGAGAUAUGGGUCCCACAAAACAUGUACCCCACCCAGCCUAGCUCCCUACCAUGCUGUUAUCAGGAUAUCAUGCGUGGUGGGCCCAGAGGGUCUCUUACAUUUAUGUAGCAAAAUCCUGGUAUUCCAGGUACACUGUAAAAUAGGUCAAUUUUAUUAGCUCCCUAAUAUAGACUGGAGACUGAAAGCUGAGGAAAGGUUUGUGGCCAAGCUGAGAUUUCAACUGGGAACUGCAGCUUGUAGCACAUGAGCUAAACCACCCAAAAGUUCAUUGAACUUCGUGCUAUAGUUCUAUGCAGAUCCUAACAUUAUACAACACAAGAAAAGCUGUGACAGGAUAGCAAAAACAAUGAUAGACAGAUAAAUCAUUCUCUAUUGCUUUCACAGUUUUAUAAUCUGGCUGAAAAUGGC